rnacentral:rRNA from 1 species
UACGGGGGGGCAAGCGUUGUUCGGAAUUACUGGGCGUAAAGGGCUCGUAGGCGGCCAACUAAGUCAGACGUGAAAUCCCUCGGCUUAACCGGGGAACUGCGUCUGAUACUGGAUGGCUUGAGUGUGGGAGAGGGAUGCGGAAUUCCAGGUGUAGCGGUGAAAUGCGUAGAUAUCUGGAGGAACACCGGUGGCGAAGGCGGCAUCCUGGACCAUUACUGACGCUGAGGAGCGAAAGCCAGGGGAGCAAACGGG